rnacentral:rRNA from 1 species
AUUGAACGCUGGCGGCAUGCCUUACACAUGCAAGUCGAACGGUAACAGGUCUUCGGAUGCUGACGAGUGGCGAACGGGUGAGUAAUGCAUCGGAACGUGCCCAGUAGUGGGGGAUAGCCCGGCGAGAGCCGGAUUAAUACCGCAUACGACCUGAGGGUGAAAGGGGGGGAUCGCAAGACCUCUCGCUAUUGGAGCGGCCGAUGUCAGAUUAGCUAGUUGGUGGGGUAAAGGCCUACCAAGGCAACGAUCUGUAGCUGGUCUGAGAGGACGACCAGCCACACGGGGACUGAGACACGGCCCAGACUCCUACGGGAGGCAGCAGUGGGGAAUUUUGGACAAUGGGCGCAAGCCUGAUCCAGCAAUGCCGCGUGCAGGAAGAAGGCCUUCGGGUUGUAAACUGCUUUUGUCAGGGAAGAAAUCUUCUGGGUUAAUACCUCGGGAGGAUGACGGUACCUGAAGAAUAAGCACCGGCUAACUACGUGCCAGCCGCCGCAGUAACAC